UACUGCAUUUACAAAGAAAACAGACAAUGCACCCAGUAGAAAGAAUAAAAAUGUGUUUGGGGUUUUAUUUUUUACUGAGAGCAAAUAGAAAUCCUUUAGUGAGAUCCUGGCAAUUUGACAGUAAGUUCAAUAAAGGUACAUGAAUUCCUAUCAUUCCACAAUUGUGAUUUUACAGUGUAGGAAAGAAUUCAGUUCUAGUCUGGUAUUGCUUUACAUGUAUAUAUCGCUGAAAACCAAAAGUGGAUUAGAACUGCUGAAGGAUUUUCCCUGCCGUUGUUUGAUACAAUCUAUUUUGUUUAUUCUUGAUAGGUGCAUAGACAGCCUCAUUUAAAAUUCUUUCUACAGGAACAUGUCUGAU
rnacentral:lncRNA from 1 species